UACGUAGGUGGCAAGCGUUGUUCGGAAUUAUUGGGCGUAAAGAGCGUGUAGGCGGCCAUGUAGGUCCGUUGUGAAAACUCGAGGCUCAACCUCGAGACGCCGAUGGAAACCAUGUGGCUAGAGUCCGGAAGAGGAGAGUGGAAUUCCUGGUGUAGCGGUGAAAUGCGCAGAUAUCAGGAAGAACACCCGUGGCUAAGGCGGCUCUCUGGACCACAACUGACGCUGAGGCGCGAAAGCUAGGGGAGCAAACAGG
rnacentral:rRNA from 1 species